rnacentral:misc_RNA from 1 species
UUUCCGUAGGUGAACCUGCGGAAGGAUCAUUAUUGUAUAACCGAGGUGCGAGGGCUGUCGCUGACCCGAAAGGUCGUGCACGCCCAAGUGCCCUCACACACAUCCAUCUCACCCCUAUGUGCACCACCGCGUGGGUCCCCCUUUGGCUUGUUCGGAGGGGGGCUUACGUUUUCACACAAACUUUGUAUGCAGUGUAGAAUGUAUUUUUUGUUUUUGCGAUCACGCAAUCAAUACAACUUUCAACAACGGAUCUCUUGGCUCUCGCAUCGAUGAGAACGCAGC